rnacentral:rRNA from 1 species
UACGGAGGGAGCUAGCGUUGUUCGGAAUUACUGGGCGUAAAGCGCACGUAGGCGGACUAUUAAGUCAGGGGUGAAAUCCCGGGGCUCAACCCCGGAACUGCCUUUGAUACUGGUAGUCUUGAGUUCGAGAGAGGUGAGUGGAAUUCCGAGUGUAGAGGUGAAAUUCGUAGAUAUUCGGAGGAACACCAGUGGCGAAGGCGGCUCACUGGCUCGAUACUGACGCUGAGGUGCGAAAGCGUGGGGAGCAAACAGG